rnacentral:sRNA from 1 species
UAACUUAAUCUAAAAACCUACCUUCAGA